rnacentral:rRNA from 1 species
UUAUCAAUAGUGAGGGUUGGCACCUCGAUGUUGGCUUAGGGAAUCUAUACGGCGCAAAAGUCGUAUAAAGAUGGUUUGUUCAACCAAUAAUACCCUACAUGAGCUGAGUUCAGACCGGCGUAAGCCAGGUUAGUUUCUAUCCUCGACAUAAUAAAUCUAUUUAUAGUACGAAAGGACCUAAAUAAGAAUAAUACUUAUAGAUAAAGAAUAAAUAUAAUACUUAUAUAACUCAAAAAUACAUAAACUAUG